CACGGAUAACAUACCGAAAGGUAUGCUAAUACGGGAUAAUAUAUUUGAGAGGCAUCUCUUAAAUAUCAAAGGUGAGCCAGUACAGGAUGGACCCGCGUCUGAUUAGCUAGUUGGUAAGGUAACGGCUUACCAAGGCGACGAUCAGUAGCCGACCUGAGAGGGUGAUCGGCCACAUUGGAACUGAGACACGGUCCAAACUCCUACGGGAGGCAGCAGUGGGGAAUAUUGCACAAUGGGCGAAAGCCUGAUGCAGCAACGCCGCGUGAGUGAUGAAGGCCUUCGGGUCGUAAAACUCUGUCCUCAAGGAAGAUAAUGACGGUACUUGAGGAGGAAGCCCCGGCUAACUACGUGCCAGCAGCCGCGGUAAUACGUAGGGGGCUAGCGUUAUCCGGAUUUACUGGGCGUAAAGGGUGCGUAGGCGGUCUUUCAAGUCAGGAGUGAAAGGCUACGGCUCAACCGUAGUAAGCUCUUGAAACUGGGAGACUUGAGCGCAGGAGAGGAGAGUGGAAUUCCUAGUGUAGCGGUGAAAUGCGUAGAUAUUAGGAGGAACACCAGUUGCGAAGGCGGCUCUCUGGACUGUAACUGACGCUGAGGCACGAAAGCGUGGGGAGCAAACAGGAUUAGAUACCCUGGUAGUCCACGCUGUAAACGAUGAGUACUAGGUGUCGGGGGUUACCCCCUUCGGUGCCGCAGCUAACG
rnacentral:rRNA from 1 species